AUUGAACGCUGGCGGCAUGCCUUACACAUGCAAGUCGAACGGUAACAGGUUAAGCUGACGAGUGGCGAACGGGUGAGUAAUGUAUCGGAACGUGCCCAGUCGUGGGGGAUAACUGCUCGAAAGAGCAGCUAAUACCGCAUACGACCUGAGGGUGAAAGCGGGGGAUCGCAAGACCUCGCGCUAUUGGAGCGGCCGAUGGCAGAUUAGGUAGUUGGUGGGGUAAAGGCCUACCAAGCCUGCGAUCUGUAGCUGGUUUGAGAGGACGACCAGCCACACUGGGACUGAGACACGGCCCAGACUCCUACGGGAGGCAGCAGUGGGGAAUUUUGGACAAUGGGCGCAAGCCUGAUCCAGCCAUGCCGCGUGCGGGAAGAAGGCCUUCGGGUUGUAAACCGCUUUUGUCAGGGAAGAAAUACUCUGGGCUAAUACCCUGGGGUGAUGACGGUACCUGAAGAAUAAGCACCGGCUAACUACGUGCCAGCCGCCGCUGUAAAAC
rnacentral:rRNA from 1 species